rnacentral:rRNA from 1 species
GAUUAGUGGCGAACGGGUGAGUAACACGUGAGCAACCUGCCCUGGACUCUGGGAUAAGCGCUGGAAACGGCGUCUAAUACUGGAUAUGAGCCUCUAUCGCAUGGUGGGGGUUGGAAAGAUUUUUUGGUCUGGGAUGGGCUCGCGGCCUAUCAGCUUGUUGGUGAGGUAAUGGCUCACCAAGGCGUCGACGGGUAGCCGGCCUGAGAGGGUGACCGGCCACACUGGGACUGAGACACGGCCCAGACUCCUACGGGAGGCAGCAGUGGGGAAUAUUGCACAAUGGGCGGAAGCCUGAUGCAGCAACGCCGCGUGAGGGAUGACGGCCUUCGGGUUGUAAACCUCUUUUAGCAAGGAAGAAGCGAGAGUGACGGUACUUGCAGAAAAAGCGCCGGCUAACUACGUGCCAGCAGCCGCGGUAAUACGUAGGGCGCAAGCGUUAUCCGGAAUUAUUGGGCGUAAAGAGCUCGUAGGCGGUUUGUCGCGUCUGCUGUGAAAUCCCGAGGCUCAACCUCGGGCCUGCAGUGGGUACGGGCAGACUAGAGUGCGGUAGGGGAGAUUGGAAUUCCUGGUGUAGCGGUGGAAUGCGCAGAUAUCAGGAGGAACACCGAUGGCGAAGGCAGAUCUCUGGGCCGUAACUGACGCUGAGGAGCGAAAGGGUGGGGAGCAAACAGGCUUAGAUACCCUGGUAGUCCACCCCGUAAACGUUGG